rnacentral:rRNA from 1 species
AACUGGAGAACUUGAGUGCAGAAGAGGAAAGUGGAAUUCCAUGUGUAGCGGUGAAAUGCGUAGAUAUAUGGAGGAACACCAGUGGCGAAGGCGACUUUCUGGUCUGUAACUGACGCUGAGGCUCGAAAGCAUGGGGAGCAAACAGGAUUAGAUACCCUGGUAGUCCAUGCCGUAAACGAUGAGUGCUAAGUGUUGGAGGGUUUCCGCCCUUCAGUGCUGCAGCUAACGCAUUAAGCACUCCGCCUGGGGAGUACGACCGCAAGGUUGAAACUCAAAGGAAUUGACGGGGGCCCGCACAAGCGGUGGAGCAUGUGGUUUAAUUCGAAGCAACGCGAAGAACCUUACCAGGUCUUGACAUCCUUUGACCACUCUAGAGAUAGAGCUUUCCCUUCGGGGACAAAGUGACAGGUGGUGCAUGGUUGUCGUCAGCUCGUGUCGUGAGAUGUUGGGUUAAGUCCCGCAACGAGCGCAACCCUUAUUAUUAGUUGCCAGCAUUCAGUUGGGCACUCUAGUGAGACUGCCGGUGAUAAACCGGAGGAAGGUGGGGAUGACGUCAAAUCAUCAUGCCCCUUAUGACCUGGGCUACACACGUGCUACAAUGGAUGGUACAACGAGUCGCAAAACCGCGAGGUUAAGCUAAUCUCUUAAAGCCAUUCUCAGUUCGGAUUGUAGGCUGCAAUUCGCCUACAUGAAGCCGGAAUCGCUAGUAAUCGCGGAUCAGAACGCCGCGGUGAAUACGUUCCCGGGCCUUGUACACACCGCCCGUCACACCACGAGAGUUUGUAACACCCAAAGUCGGUGAGGUAACCUUCGGGAGCCAGCCGCCUAAGGUGGGACAGAUAAUUGGGGUG